rnacentral:rRNA from 1 species
UACGGAGGGUGCAAGCGUUGUUCGGAAUUAUUGGGCGUAAAGGGCGUGUAGGUGGCUUUCCAAGUCUGGUGUGAAAUCCCACGGCUCAACCGUGGAACUGCAUUGGAAACUGGGGAGCUCGAGUGUUGGAGGGGGUCGCGGAAUUCCCGGUGUAGAGGUGAAAUUCGUAGAUAUCGGGAGGAACACCAGUGGCGAAGGCGGCGACCUGGCCAAUCACUGACACUGAGACGCGAAAGCGUGGGGAGCAAACAGG